GAUGAACGCUGGCGGCGUGCUUAACACAUGCAAGUCGAACGUGAGAGGGGUACUUGUAUCCCUUGAAAGUGGCGGACGGGUGCGUAACACGUAGGAACCUGCCCUGGAGCGGGGGAUAACCAUGGGAAACUGUGGCUAAUACCGCAUGGGCUUGGAGUGACGGGAGAGCUUCAAGCAAAAUUCAGGUGCUCUGGGAGGGGCCUGCGGCCGAUUAGUUAGUUGGUGGGGUAAAGGCCUACCAAGGCGAUGAUCGGUAGCUGUUCUGAGAGGAAGACCAGCCACACGGGAACUGAGAGACGGUCCCGACUCCUACGGGGGGCAGCAGUGAGGAAUAUUGCACAAUGGGGGGAACCCUGAUGCAGCAACGCCGCGUGAAGGAUGAAGGCUUUCGAGUUGUAAACUUCUUUUCUGGGGGAAGAGGAAGG
rnacentral:rRNA from 1 species